UACGAAGGGGGCUAGCGUUGCUCGGAAUCACUGGGCGUAAAGGGUGCGUAGGCGGGUCUUUAAGGCAGGGGGGAAAUCCUGGAGCUCAACUCCAGAACUGCCUUUGAUACUGAGGAUCUUGAGUACGGGAGAGGUGAGUGGAACUGCGAGUGUAGAGGUGAAAUUCGUAGAUAUUCGCAAGAACACCAGUGGCGAAGGCGGCUCACUGGCCCGUUACUGACGCUGAGGCACGAAAGCGUGGGGAGCAAACAGG
rnacentral:rRNA from 1 species